rnacentral:ncRNA from 1 species
ACUAUGUAAAGCCAAACCUGUUGCGAGGCGGGGACGGAAAGCCACGGAUCUCUCAGGGGUGUGAGCCACAGACCUUUUGUGAGAAAGCCGGGUUGCCAUG